GUCUUAAAUGAUGACCUUGCAUACCGCCCCAGUCUGAGCAUUCAUGACUGAGUGGUUACAAUGUUCUGACCAUUC